GAGAGAGAGAGAGAGAGAGAGGUGUGGUAGCAUCAUCCUCAUGUGCAUGUGCCUACCAUGUUCUUCAAGCUAGUAUGUAGCAGUAGCUUUGUAGUGGUAAAAUCACUGUUUAAUAAGUAGUGUAACUGUGUAAGGUCAUCUAGUGCAUAACUAGUGCUCUACCAGUAGGAGUGUCCAGUCGGUCUACAGACAGUGAGGGGAUCGAUAUCUGCUAAACCAGCCGGCCGGCCUGCUUGUCCUCUAAUUGAAGGGCCCUAGCUUAGCUAGAUAGCACUACUUUGCUGUCUGCGGCUUUACUUCCUGGAGAAGGAUGCGCCCUUGCCUGCCCGCCAAAUUAUGGGUGGUACGUAAUAGGGUACGAUGCAUUUGCAGCAUCAUAUCGAGCUGUACACAUGUGUUCGUUUUUAAUUUGGGUUAAGCAUUCCGUUCUUGUUUCUUUGCGCUUUCUAUCAUUAUUGAUGUGUGUGUCAUCAUGUAUAGCGCUGCUGCCCUUUAUUCAUGAAGAAGGAAUUGAACAUAUGUAAGCUUUAGGUUGCCA
rnacentral:lncRNA from 1 species